ACUUAUCCUUGGUCUGUGUGCCAAGAUAAAAUAUGACUAUCAAAAAUAGAUGAAGGGAGUAUUUAACAUUUUUGUUGUUAUGAGAUGAUAAAACAUGAAUAAUACUUUAUUCGUGACUUACGUUUUAUUUUUUUCAAAAAAUUUUCAAAUAAGACGAAUGGUUAAAGUUGGGCGCGGAAAAUCAUGGCUGCAUUUAUU
rfam:Oryza sativa Japonica Group DNA, chromosome 6, cultivar: Nipponbare, complete sequence.